GCAACUGCAUCACAGAAUCUUAGAGGUGAUUAUUCACAGGUUAAGGAAAUAAUUCCUUUUUUUUGUCGCUGCUGCACUGAAUUUCAUAGGCGUGUCUGUGGCUUGAUGCCUAAGAUAUUUAAAGCAGGUUUUAUUCUUACAGGGGUUUUGCACACUAAAGUGUCUGCCCAGGUUUUGUUUCCAAAAGUGAGGUAUAGUGCUGGGUGUUUAAUUUGGUAUGUUACUUGUUCUGUUGUGUAAAUAACUGCAGCGCCCUCCCUGUGCCUGUGUAUUGCAGGGGCAAGCGAGCGCUGGUUAUAAAGGUGGCGAUAAUUAGGAAGAAGCUGUUUAAGCUUGGAUAAAUGUUUAGAAAUCAUUGCUUAGGGUACUGCAUAGAUGUACCAGAAGGAACUGCACCCUGGAAGUGCUGUGUGUCUGAAACUGACUGCACCUACUCAUUUUUAGCUCCUCUUUCUGACUCUGACUCUGCUCCUAUUCCAACAGACCCGUCCGAGCCUGGCGUCCGCUAAACGCCUCCGCGUGGUGGGAGACGAGUCUAGGAAGAAAUACCUUCAAUCCACAGAUGAGGCAGAAAGGACUCAGUACAAGGAGGACUGGACUCAGAUGAAGGUUAAGAUGGGCACAGCUCUAGGUGGCCCAUAGCUUGGGGUUCAUCUCAGAAGGAGGGACUUCAUUUGGUCACAGAGAAGACGUGCCUUCCCUGCAAGGAGCAGGAAAGAUAAUCUACAGCCUCUCGGAGAGGCUUAAACUUGAGUAAAUUUUUGUAGCCACUGAUGCUGUUGAGGAAGCGACUGAACUGCUCGAGAAACUGCUGCCCGAGAUGGUGAGGUUUGAAGCCUCUCUGGAGGAGCUGGAACUCUCUAAGGACGGGGGCUCGUGAUUCACCCGUAGAUUUGCGCACAUGCAAUGUAGCAAACCUGACUUUGAUUUCAGCCAAAGCUUAAUGUCACUGUCAGAAAACUGAGUAUGAUUUUUGGCCCAUAGUUGUUUACGAAUGGUGUAAGCCAUUAUAUAAUCAAGUAUAUCAUUGAGAUGUGUCUAGUAGAUGUAUUACGGUUA